GAUGAACGCUAGCGGCAGGCCUAACACAUGCAAGUCGAGGGAGGAGCCUUCGGGCUUCGACCGGCGUACGGGUGCGUAACGCGUAUACAAUCUGCCUCUCACAUAGGGAUAGCCCGAAGAAAUUUGGAUUAAUACCUAAUGGUAUAUAGAUGUGGCAUCACCUUUAUAUUAAAGCUGAGGCGGUGAAAGAUGAGUAUGCGUUCUAUUAGCUAGUUGGAGAGGUAACGGCUCCCCAAGGCGACGAUAGAUAGGGGUUCUGAGAGGGAUAUCCCCCACACUGGUACUGAGAUACGGACCAGACUCCUACGGGAGGCGGCAGUGAGGAAUAUUGGACAAUGGUCGGAAGACUGAUCCAGCCAUGCCGCGUGCAGGAAGACGGCCUUAUGGGUUGUAAACUGCUUUUGCAGGGGAAGAAUAAGGACUACGCGUAGUUUGAUGACGGUACUCUGCGAAUAAGCAUCGGCUAACUCCGUG
rnacentral:rRNA from 1 species